GAUGAACGCUGGCGGCGUGCCUAAUACAUGCAAGUCGAGCGAACAGACGAGGAGCUUGCUCCUCUGACGUUAGCGGCGGACGGGUGAGUAACACGUGGAUAACCUACCUAUAAGACUGGGAUAACUUCGGGAAACCGGAGCUAAUACCGGAUAAUAUAUUGAACCGCAUGGUUCAAUAGUGAAAGACGGUUUUGCUGUCACUUAUAGAUGGAUCCGCGCCGGAUUAGCUAGUUGGUAGGGUAACAGCUUACCAAGGCAACGAUGCAUAGCCGACCUGAGAGGAGGAUCAGACACACUGGGACUGAGACACGGCCCAGACUCCUACGGGAGGCAGCAGUGGGGAAUAUUGGAAAAGGGGAGAAAGCAUGAUCCAGCAAUGCCGCGUGAGUGAGGAAGGCCUGAGGGUUGUAAAGCUCUUUUACCCGGGAUGAUAAUGACAGUACCGGGAGAAUAAGCGCCGGCUAACUCCGUG
rnacentral:rRNA from 1 species